UACAGAGGGGGCAAGCGUUAUUCGGAAUUAUUGGGCGUAAAGGGCGCGUAGGCGGCCUGGCAAGUGGAAGGUGAAAUCCCUCGGCUUAACCGAGGAACUGCCCUCCAAACUGCUUGGCUUGAGUCCGGGAGAGGUGAGUGGAACUGCGAGUGUAGAGGUGAAAUUCGUAGAUAUUCGCAAGAACACCAGUGGCGAAGGCGGCUCACUGGCCCGGUACUGACGCUGAGGCACGAAAGCGUGGGGAGCAAACAGG
rnacentral:rRNA from 1 species